rnacentral:rRNA from 1 species
UACGAAGGGGGCUAGCGUGGCUCGGAAUCACUGGGCGUAAAGCGCACGUAGGCGGAUUGUUAAGUCAGGGGUGAAAUCCUGGAGCUCAACUCCAGAACUGCCUUUGAUACUGGCGAUCUUGAGUCCGGGAGAGGUGAGUGGAACUGCGAGUGUAGAGGUGAAAUUCGUAGAUAUUCGCAAGAACACCAGUGGCGAAGGCGGCUCACUGGCCCGGUACUGACGCUGAGGUGCGAAAGCGUGGGGAGCAAACAGG